rnacentral:lncRNA from 1 species
UGGGUCAGCCCGGGUCGGCCCAGGUGAACCAGGGUGCGUGUCUCAGCGCAGGCCGGGUGUGGUAAGAUCAGAGCUGGGUGUGGUUCCUCUGCUGGGCCCAGGUGAACCAGGGUGUGGUAAGAUCAGAGCUGGGUGUGGGUCGGUCUCCCUGUCUCCCUGCGCUGCUGUUGAAGCUCCUGCCUGCCCUUCUCCCUCCAGAGAUGCUGCACACCGUGGCGGACGCGGCCACUCUGGAGCAGGUGAUUCAAGGUAGGCCGUCCGCGCCCGGCACCCGCAGGGCUUGAGCCGCUCACUGCGGGGUACAGAGACCCCCGGGACCCUCCGGGCUGUCCCACUCCAGCACGGGCGUGUGAUUUCAGUCUGCGUGGAAGUGGAGACCACAGAGUCUCCGGGCUUCCUGUCCGCUUGAGCUCUUCAUUAGGUACUGGCGUCAGUUAUUCACUUACCUGCAGGAGUAUAGCCCCUGUGAAGGGGCCUGACAGGCCUGGGUGCUGUUGCCUGUCUUGCAGUGCUGGUGCAGCUGCUGGCAGAGCUGAAGAGCGAGCAGUUCCUGGGCUUCGUGCUGGACAGGUGCGACAGGCAGCUGACCAGCACAGCCAGCCUGCGGGGCAGCCUACCCACGCUCACCUUCCUGGGGAAGCUGAUGGGCGCCGUGCCGACGCUGGCCGAGAC